rnacentral:RNase_P_RNA from 1 species
AGGACGAGUCGGGCAAUCGCGGUGCCGCAGGCAUCGAGGAAGGUCCGGACUCCGCAGGGCAGGAUAGCGGCUAACGGCCGUCCGGCGCGCGUGGGGCUUGGCCCGGCGCGCGCCGAGGAAUAGGGCCACAGAGACGAGUCUGCGGCGCGGGCGUCCCCAAGGGGGUUCCCGGGGGGGCGCACCGGCACGGCCAUCUCCGUGCCGAGCGGGUUCGCAAGAACCCGCCAGGCCGCAGGGUGAAACGCGGCAACCUCUAUCCGGAGCAACAUCAAAUAGGCAUGCGUGCGGCUUCGUGCCGCGUCAGGGCGGCCCGUCCGAGCAUGCGGGUAGAUGGCUAGAGUGCGUCAGCAAUGGCGUGCCCAGAGGAAUGAUUGCCGGCCCGGGUGACCGGGCUUACAGAAUCCGGCCUACAGAUUCGUCUUGCCU